rnacentral:rRNA from 1 species
UACGAAGGGAGCUAGCGUUGUUCGGAAUCACUGGGCGUAAAGCGCACGUAGGCGGAUGUGUCAGUCAGGGGUGAAAUCCCGGAGCUCAACUUCGGAACUGCCUUUGAUACAGCACGUCUUGAGUCCGAUAGAGGUGGGUGGAAUUCCUAGUGUAGAGGUGAAAUUCGUUAGAUAUUAGGAAGAACACCAGUGGCGAAGGCGGCUCACUGGACCGUUGUUGACGCUGAGGUGCGAAGCGUGGGGAGCAAACAGG